UCAAAAUAUGAGUUGGAAGGAUACAAAGAAGAUUAGCAUGGCCCCUGCACAAGAAGGAUGACAUGAAAUAUAUAUAUAUAAAAUGAAUCUUU
rnacentral:snRNA from 1 species